AGGGCAAGUCUGGUGCCCGCAGCCGCGGUAAUUCCAGCUCCAAUAGCGUAUAUUAAAGUUGUUGCAGUUAAAAAGCUCGUAGUUGAAUUUCGGGGUUAGUAGGUUGGUCGUGCCUCAGGUAUGUACUGAUCUCACUGAUUCCUCCUUCCUGAUGAACCGUAAUGCCAUUAAUUUGGUGUUGCGGGGAAACUGGACUGUUACUUUGAAAAAAUUAGAGUGUUUAAAGCAGGCUAACGCUUGAAUACAUUAGCAUGGAAUAAUGAAAUAGGACGUUCGAUCCUAUUUUGUUGGUUUCUAGGAUUGACGUAAUGAUUAAUAGGGAUAGUUGGGGGCAUUAGUAUUCAAUUGUCAGAGGUGAAAUUCUUGGAUUUAUUGAAGACUAACUACUGCGAAAGCAUUUGCCAAGGAUGUUUUCAUUAAUCAAGAACGAAAGUUAGGGGAUCGAAGACGAUCAGAUACCGUCGUAGUCUUAACCAUAAACUAUGCCGACUAGGGAUCGGAUGAUGUUAAUUUUUUAAUGACUCAUUCGGCGCCUUACGGGAA
rnacentral:rRNA from 1 species